rnacentral:rRNA from 1 species
AUAGAACCUGAAACCUUGUGCUUACAAGCACUCAAAGCCCGUUAAUGGGUGAUGAGGUACCUUUUGUAGAAUGGUCCGGCGAGUUAUUGUCACUGGCAAGCUUAAGGUAUUCAGUACCGAAGGCGCAGCGAGAGCGAGUCUGAACAGGGCGUAUGAAGUCAGUGGCAAUAGACCCGAAACCGGGUGACCUAUCCAUGGGCAGGUUGAAGUGGGGGUAAAACCCCAUGGAGGACCGAACGCACGCUCGUUGCAAUGAUCGGCGAUGACCUGUGGAUAGCGGUGAAAUUCCAAUCGAACUCGGAGAUAGCUGGUUCUCCCCGAAAUAGCUUUAGGGCUAGCGUCAACUUAGAUUACCGGAGGUAAAGCACUGAAUGGGCUAGGGGCCGAUAAGGUUACUGAACCCUAUCAAACUAAGAAUGCCGGAUAAUUGAUGGUUGGCAGUCAGACAGUGUGAGAUAAGUUUCAUUGUCAAAAGGGAAACAGCCCAGACCCACAGCUAAGGUCCCAAAUACAUGCUAAGUGGAAAACGAUGUGGAGUUGCGAAAACAACCAGGAUGUUGGCUUAGAAGCAGCCACUCAUUAAAAGAGUGCGUAAUAGCUCACUGGUCGAGUGACUCUGCGCGGAAAAUAUAACGGGGCUAAGCAUGUAACCGAAGCUUGGGCUUGUCGUAAGACAGGGGUAGGGGAGCGUCGUGUACGGGGUGAAGUCGUAGCGAGAGCAGCGGUGGACUGUACACGAGUGAGAAUGCCGGAAUGAGUAGCGAGAAUUAUGUGGGAAUCAUAAUGGCCGAAAAUCUAAGGUUUCUUGGGGAAGGUUCGUCCGCCCAAGGUAAGCCGGGAGCUAAGGCGAGGCCGCAAGGCGUAGUCGAUGCACAUACGGUAGAAAUUCCGUAGCCGCCGAACUUUAAGCACGCUGACACUUUGGAAUAGGAGGACCCGGGCGUUGGUUGACCCGGGCGUAAGGGACCGAAAUAUAGUAGGGAAGUCUCCGAUGUCCAGAGGCGAGAAAAGGCGUGAGGUAUACUAAGGCGCCCGUACCGCAAACCGACACAGGUAGAUGAGGAGAGAAUCCUAAGGCCAACGGGAGAAGGGUUGUUAAGGAACUCGGCAAAUUGGCCCCGUAACUUCGGGAUAAGGGGCGCCUCCUACGGGAGGCCGCAGUGAAAAGGCCCAAGCGACUGUUUACCAAAAACACAGGUCUAUGCUAAAUCGAAAGAUGACGUAUAUGGGCUGACGCCUGCCCGGUGCUGGAAGGUUAAGAGGAGAGCUUAGCGCAAGCGAAGGUUUGAAUCGAAGCCCCAGUAAACGGCGGCCGUAACUAUAACGGUCCUAAGGUAGCGAAAUUCCUUGUCAGGUAAGUUCUGACCCGCACGAAUGGCGUAACGAUUUGGGCACUGUCUCAACAGCCCACCCGGCGAAAUUGUUGUACUGGUGAAGAAGCCAGUUACCCGCAACUAGACGGAAAGACCCCAUGGAGCUUUACUGUAGCUUAAUACUGGAAAUCGGUAAAUCAUGUACAGGAUAGGUGGGAGGCUUGGAAGCCUGGGCGUCAGCUCAGGUGGAGCCACCCUUGGGAUACCACCCUUGAUUUGCUGGUUUUCUAACCUGCGGCCUUGAAUCAGGUCGGGGGACACUGUUAGGUGGGCAGUUUGACUGGGGCGGUCGCCUCCAAAAAGGUAACGGAGGCGCUCAAAGGUUCGUUCAGCACGGACGGAAAUCGUGCA